GGGGAUGUGGCUCAGUGGUAGAGCGCUUGCCUACCACGUGUGAGACGUGGAGUUGAAUUCUCAGCACCAUAUAUA
rnacentral:tRNA from 1 species